rnacentral:rRNA from 1 species
CAAUAGCGUAUAUUAAAGUUGUUGCGGUUAAAAAGCUCGUAGUUGGAUUUCUGCUGAGAACGACCGGUCCGCCCUCUGGGUGUGUAUCUGGCUUGGCCUGGGCAUCUUCUUGGAGAACGUCGCUGCACUUCACUGUGUGGUGCGGUAUCCAGGACUUUUACUUUGAGGAAAUUAGAGUGUUUCAAGCAGGCUUCCGCCUUGAAUACAUUAGCAUGGAAUAAUAAGAUAGGACCUCGGUUCUGUUUUGUUGGUUUCUAGAGCUGGGGUAAUGAUUAAUAGGGAUAGUCGGGGGCAUUCGUAUUUCAUUGUCAGAGGUGAAAUUCUUGGAUUUAUGAAAGACGAACUUCUGCGAAAGCAUUUGUCAAGGAUGUUUUCAUUAA